AUCCCACACCCACCAGUCCAGACUUGGUUUUCUGAACCCCUGGCAAGCGAAGGGACCCAGCAGAUAAUGGGACAGCUACGUAGGCAAUGACUUUUAGAGGCGAAACAGGUUCAGAAGGCAUCUGAGCAACAUCUCCACUUUCCCAGCAAGCCUCUGAGCCUACCUCUAUGCUCAGAGGUCCUUCACCAGGCAGUAACAAUGGCAUUGCUGGUAGUGCAGGGGGUGAGGAACGAGCCCCUCAUGCUGUUGGGUUAUGCUCACUCAGCAGGCACUGGGUGCAGUCUGUUCUGCUGGCAUGGGAUGAGGACACCGGUCUGCCAAAGCACCUGAGCUCCACCCACAGAACUGACACCUGAAUCCUGUUAUUCCCCACAAACACACAGCUUUGGAGAAAGCUUCCAAGAAACAGCUGACCACAAGGAUGAAACUCGUGUGGGAGGAAGAGGGAGCAUGCUUGGCAGCUGGCCUCCAACGCAGGAAUCGCUGCCACAGGAGGACAGAGGAUAUUUUGUGGCAGCUCAUCUUAUCAUGCAUUUUUGUGCAGACCCUUCCAGUUUCUCAGUGAUGUUCUGUCUGCUUGAAUGGCUGUCCAUGUGUGCUUGGUCCAUGUCUCAGGUAAGGACUGCAACCAGCGUGCACCUGCUUUCCAGUGCUGCCUCCUGGGCUUCCCUGUUUGCAGGGAUCAAGGAUGCAGCGAAUCUGAGCAUGGCCAGCAAGAUGACUUCUCCAGCAGGAACCACAGACCUGAUCAUCAUUUUUCACUGCACACCCAUUGCUGUCAUACUGAAAAUAAGAUAAAAUUACUUAAAAUAAGAGAGCUGUCUGGUCUCACAUGUUCAUGGAGAAGGGAUCUUCAGAUAAAUGAACUAUUAAGACUGAACUUUGGCUGAAGAAAAACACUAGAGGCUGCCCAGCAGACCUUGAUGUAUUACAGGCCAUCUUAUUCCUGGCUUGGAGCUUGUCAGCCACCCUAUGGAGAGAUGCACAUAGCAAACAAGCUACCUGCAGUGGCCAUAAUCCUUCUGCAAAGAGCAACAUGGACCAUGUUGUGGGAGCAGAACAAAGGACAAAGUCAUCCUGCCGUGAAUUAUAUAUGGGAGGUAGAAGAAAAUGUCACCAAGUGGUUGCAAGCCAUGGGGGCUGCAUGUUCAUUUGAGUGUUUCAUUCUGCAAUGUUUAUUUGUAGUCUUGAUGCUUCUGAAGGCUGUGGAGCUGUUGAGGAAGGGGGAGAAGAAGGGAGGAAGGAAAUAGGGGAGUCAGGACAAUGAGGGAGGAGGGGAAGGGGAAGUUCAAGUGGACAAAUACUGAUGUCCAUAUCUGAGCCUGAUUCUCUUUCUAGGCAAAAAAAACAUACGUGACCAGUUUCAGAGGUCUCCCCGAUUGUAAAAAUAGCUUUCUGGCAGUGCCUUUACUUCUCCCAUGACUGCAACCUAUGGGACUGUCUGUGAUGAAGAGAUCUGCAUGGUUACAGGAAAAGAGCCCAGCCACAUCCACCCUAUUACCUUUCUGGUAGAAAAAAAACCAUGGUGGUUUUGCAUCUUUCAGGACAGCUGUGAGAUACAUGGCAGAAGGCAUAUGGGGAUCUUUGGGUUGUUCCUGGGUUGAAAUUGAACAAUUAGGCAAAAACAGAGUCCUGAUGCCUCAGAGCUGAGCUGAGCUUGGUUACCCAAAACAUCUUAAUGUGCAAGAGAACAGUGCUAUAUAUUGAAAUCUUCUGUGAGUGCUAUCUUCAUCUGCUCUCAGCAUUAGAGGGUUGUUAUUUAAUUUGCCUGUGAGUGAAACAGUCUAAUUUCCAUUAUGAUGAGCAUUUACAUGAACAUAAGAAACUUUUGAAAACUGGAGACUGCAGACCCCAAAGACUAAUUCCUGUGGUCCCGAGGCUAGAUGCUGUUUGUAACUGCAAAUCCAGAGAAUUCAUGAGGAUAGAUACUCUGACCUACUGAAUUUAUGGAGCCACCUUCUCUGCCUCCUGCUCCCUCCCUCUUGGCACAAGUGGGAGGAAGGGGUAUGCUGAGAGCGGGAUAAUCAGUGUGUGAGCUCAUAAGAGCUGUGCUCCACGCUGCCUGACACUUCACUUGCACAAGCUCCAGUAGGAUAAGGCUAAUUGUGGAAAAUAGAGGACUUCAGUACUCUUGACUUCUGCUGUGACUACGUGGUUCACAAGCAGAGGACAGUACAUACACAAGGGAACACUGAGGUUCACUGGAGAACAUGGUUUGCUGGAGUUGGUGGCGUCUCCUUGGAUUACUGCAGAAGUCUUUCUUCAUCCUCUUGUCAUUUUGUCUUCAGAUAUGCCACCCAACUGCUACCUCCUGUUGGCUCCAUAGAGCAUUUGAAGACUUCUCUUGAAAUCUUCUAUCUGCCUUCUGACAUGUUUCUGAGCAGCAUGCACAGAAAAGGAUCUGUGCCUUCCAGGACGUGAGACCUCAAAACAAGUUCCUGUUCCUGAGCGCAUUUUGAUACAGAUUCCAUUCUUUUGGAAGGCAGUGAAAUGAUUAAAAAAGGAGAAGGAAAUUGAUUCUGAAUUUUUCAUUAUAAGCAAAAAGUCUGUUAAUAUUUGUAUGAUGCUUGUUAAUAUUUAUAUGGUUUAAACUGCUGCGGCAGCUCAGCUUGUGAUGCAUUUUUGGAUUGUUUAGACAUGCUUUUACAGUUCAAGCCCCAGUUUCAUUUGGGAUGGUUUUGGAACCACGAGUGCCUGGGAGCCCUGUGGUGGCAAGAUGGCAAGCUCCCAUGGAGGAGGACUGCUGGUGCACAGGGACCAGCCGGGACCACGCUGCCCUUCAGGUAUAUGUCAUAAGUCAUGGCUUACAGUCUGUGUGCGGAAAGGCUCCAACUGCUUCUUGCUGCAGCUCUGGGAGUCAUCCUGCUAAAAACCAUGUGAAUGAAGAGCAGAAAAGGCAGCUUCACCCCAGAGAAGUCAUUGAAUGUCUGAUGGCCUAUGGAGCUGGUGGACCACACAGGCAUGAAGGUGAAAAGGAAAAAGAGAUAGAAGUGAGCCCUGACCACGAGGCCAUCAGGCACUCUCAUGGCACAUCAGACACCUGGCUGCCUGCCUUUGUGGUGGCUGAGAAUGAUGCAGAUACUCAUGGGCACUGAGGAGGAUGGUUUGGAUUAUAUGGUUUGUUUUUCAGACUUCUGGUAAAAAGGCUUGAAAAAGGCAGUAAGGAUGUUAACCUUCCAUGAGCAAGGGAGACUGUAAGGUUGUGCACAUGAUGUAUUGACACAGCAGAGAAAAAAAUUGCCAACAUUUUAAUAAAACAAGAAUAAAACAAGAAAUGGGCUAAUUACUAGUCAGGUGAGGUCAGACAUUUAGUUGUAGGAAAGGCAGAAGAUAUCAGUUCCAGGUAAGUAGUUACUGCCACAACUUGGUACAAAAUCACAGGCAGUAGGUUUGGGAUGGAUUUCAAGAAAUUGGUUAUUUCAUUCCUUUGCUCAAAGGCAUCACCAAUUUGUUUAUAUUUGGAGAUAUUUGUCCAACAAAUUGAGUAACUACAGUGAUAGGAUUAAUGCAACUUCUUAAAGUCUAUAGUAGUUAUUAGUGAUCCACCACGUUACAUUUUUUUUUCGGAAUUUCCUAUGCAGAAAUUCAUGAUGUCUCAUGUCCGCCUUCAGAUAAGUAGCAUCUAUUCUUCAACUAUUGCGGACAGAUCUCCAACCACAGACUAUCCAAAAUCUCAUGUUUUCCUUGAGCCCAAACCCUCUGGGCUUGUGGUGUCCAGAACUGGACACAAACUCAUAUAACCUGCCUGAUCCUUUUCCAGUGCCAAGCAGGGUGGGAGAACUACCUCAUAUGCCUUCGAGCAAUCCCUUCUGCCAGUAUCUCCAGUGAGGCUUGGGUUUUGGCAGAAAUACAGCAUGGUGACUCAUGGUUUGCUUUUGCUUUCCUGUAACCAUGCUUUCCUUUCAUUCUCUAUUUGUACUUUAUGUAAUUGGUUAUUCCUACUUACCUGUAACACUUUGUAAUUGUCCUUAUUUAAUCACAUUCUGAUCUUUUGCAAUCAGUAACCAGUUUCUGAAAAAUAAUUCUGGACUUUAAUCCUGUCUUUGACUGAACUUCCAGCUCUUUGCAACUGUUGUUAACUGCAGUUAAUUCAGAUACACACUUUAUAUCCAUAUAUCAAUGUAUCUGCAGUUCUCUAUGUGUAUGUAUGGAUAUUUACUCCAUCAUCAAGUGAUUCAGGAAGAUACUGAGUAGUACUAGACUGUAUUCAAUACCUUAUUUAUUUAUUUAUUUUUACAAUGAACCACUUAAAAUUCCUCUCUGUGUUUGGUCCUUCGUUUAGUUUUGCACUCACCCUGCAGCAUUUACAAUUUACCAUUUCUGAACUAGCAUACAAGAACGUCAAAUUAGCCAGUGUCAAAAGAUUUACUAACAUUAAGCUAUAUGUUAAGUAAUGUUAAGCUAUCUGACAGCAUUUGUGUGAUCUCCCUAUGUUCCUUCCCUCAUCUGCAAAACAUGUUUGCUUGUCAUUGCAGGAAAGGAGAUUGGUUUUGUGGGGUUUGAAGUUUACGUGUAUGUGUCUGGUGCUACCUACCAAUU